GACGAACCGUGCGAACGUUGUUCGGAAUCACUGGGCUUAAAGGGCGCGUAGGCGGGCCAUCAAGUCCGGGGUGAAAUCUUUCGGCUUAACCGGAAAAUUGCCUUGGAUACUGGUGGUCUUGAGGGAAGUAGGGGUCUGCGGAACUUCCGGUGGAGCGGUGAAAUGUGUUGAUAUCGGAAGGAACGCCGGUGGCGAAAGCGGCGGACUGGGCUUCUUUUGACGCUGAGGCGCGAAAGCUAGGGGAGCAAACGGG
rnacentral:rRNA from 1 species